UACGUAGGUGGCGAGCGUUGUCCGGAUUUACUGGGCGUAAAGGGCGUGCAGGCGGUUUGUUAAGUGCAGGGUGAAAGCUCCCGGCUCAACUGGGAGAGGUCCUUGCAUACUGGCGAACUCGAGGGAGGCAGAGGAAAGUGGAAUUCCCGGUGUAGUGGUGACAUGCGUAGAUAUCGGGAGGAACACCUGUGGCGAAGGCGGCUUUCUGGGCCUUACCUGACGCUGAGACGCGAAAGCGUGGGGAGCGAACAGG
rnacentral:rRNA from 1 species